ACAUGCCUACAGUAUAGUGCUAAUGCAUCGAAUCCCAUUAGAAAUUUGAAGUUAAGAACGCUUGGGCUAGAGUAGUACUGGGAUGGGUGACCGCUUGGUAAGUUCUAGUGUUUUACAUGCC
rnacentral:rRNA from 1 species